rnacentral:lncRNA from 1 species
AUGAUAAGCUCUGUGUUUCUUUUCAAAGGUACCCAACUAGUAGGCAGUACCAUGAUGUUUGUGCUACUCUUGUAUCUAAACGUCCUUUAUUCCGGGAUCGCACAGGACAAGGAUAUAGUAUCACAGAGAAAAGCAUGGCAAAAGGAGGCUGUCGGUGUCUUCAGCAGAAUGGAGGCACAACAACCAGCUAAGAAAGCCAUUAUGUCUGCUGGCGAGGAAGCUGUAAUUCAAGGCCACACCUUUGCAACCUCUACUAUCAAGGUAGUAACCACCAUAAAGCCUGCUGCACACUACAAGCUUCUUACAAGAGACAUCUGCUGGCAAGGAUGGAGAUGCUCUUGGCCAUGA